rnacentral:lncRNA from 1 species
UUUGGGGUGGCAGCUUCAGUCUCAGUUCAGAUAUUUUUUUAUUGAAAGUGGGGUUUUGAAAUAUCUAUUGCUUUGAGUUGUCUAAUACUCCCUUUAAUUCUACCACUUUUUGCUUCAUGUAUUUUGGAGCCCUGUUGUUAGGUGCAUAUGUGUUUAUAAUUGUUGUCUUUCUGAAGAUUGACCUUUUUAUCAUAAAAUACAUUUCUUCACCUCUUGUAACUAUUUUUAUCUUAAAGUCCAUUUUGUCUGAGAUUAAUGUAGCUACCCCAGCUCUUUUUUGGUUACUGUUUGCAUGCCAUAUCUUUGUCCAUCCUUUUAUUUUCAACCAAUUUGUGUCUUUGAAUCUAAAGUGUGUCUCUAAUAGUAUUGUUGGGUUAUUUUUAAUAAAAACCCUCAUUCUGGCAAUCUUUGCCUUCUGGUUAGGGUGUUUAAGCCAUUUACUUUUGAUUAAAUUACUGAUAAGCUAGGAUUUUAAUUUACCAUUUUGCUAUUUGGAUUUUUACAUGUCUUAUGUAUUUUUUGUACCUUUAUUCCUCCAUUAUUGCUCUCUUUUGCAUUAAAUGGGUAUCUUCCAGGAAAAGCUUUUAAUACUCUUGUUUCUUUUACUGUUUUUUAUUUUUUAUUUUUUUGAGAUGGAGUCUCACUCUGUUGCCCAGGCUGGAGUGCAGUGGCAUGACUUCAGCUCACUGCAACCUCCACCAUCUGGGUUCAAGCAAUUCUCCUGCCUCAGCCUCCUGAAUAGCUGGGAUUACAGGCAUGUACCACCAUACCUGGCUAAUUUUGCGUAUUUUUAAUAGAGAUCAGGUUUCACCAUGUUGGCCAGGCUGGUCUUGAACUCCUGACCUCAAGUGAUCUGCCCACCUCAGUCUCCCAAAGUGUUGGGAUUACAGGUGUGAGCCACCACACCUGGCUAUUUUUACUAUUUUGUAAAAAGAUACUUUCUUAGUAGCUGCUCUGGGGAUUACAAUUAACAUCUUAAUUUAAGACAAUCUACUUCAGAUUAAUAGUAAUCUAAUUUCAAGAGUAUACAAAAAGUUUUCUCUAGUAUUAUUCUGUUCCUUCUCCUUC